CGGAGCUUGCUCCACCGGAAAAAGAGGAGUGGCGAACGGGUGAGUAACACGUGGGUAACCUGCCCAUCAGAAGGGGAUAACACUUGGAAACAGGUGCUAAUACCGUAUAACAAUCGAAACCGCAUGGUUUUGAUUUGAAAGGCGCUUUCGGGUGUCGCUGAUGGAUGGACCCGCGGUGCAUUAGCUAGUUGGUGAGGUAACGGCUCACCAAGGCCACGAUGCAUAGCCGACCUGAGAGGGUGAUCGGCCACAUUGGGACUGAGACACGGCCCAAACUCCUACGGGAGGCAGCAGUAGGGAAUCUUCGGCAAUGGACGAAAGUCUGACCGAGCAACGCCGCGUGAGUGAAGAAGGUUUUCGGAUCGUAAAACUCUGUUGUUAGAGAAGAACAAGGAUGAGAGUAACUGUUCAUCCCUUGACGGUAUCUAACCAGAAAGCCACGGCUAACUACGUGCCAGCAGCCGCGGUAAUACGUAGGUGGCAAGCGUUGUCCGGAUUUAUUGGGCGUAAAGCGAGCGCAGGCGGUUUCUUAAGUCUGAUGUGAAAGCCCCCGGCUCAACCGGGGAGGGUCAUUGGAAACUGGGAGACUUGAGUGCAGAAGAGGAGAGUGGGAUUCCAUGUGUAGCGGUGAAAUGCGUAGAUAUAUGGAGGAACACCAGUGGCGAAGGCG
rnacentral:rRNA from 1 species